rnacentral:rRNA from 1 species
UGCCAGCCGCCGCGGUAAGACGAGGGGUCCAAGCGUUGCUCGGAAUCAUUGGGCGUAAAGCGGGUGUAGGCGGUUAUGUAAGUCAGAAGUGAAAGCCCUGGGCUUAACCUAGGAAGUGCUUUUGAAACUACAUAACUUGAAUGUGGGAGAGGUUAGCAGAAUUCCAGGUGUAGUGGUGAAAUACGUAGAUAUCUGGAGGAAUACCGGUGAGGAAGCUGGCUGACUGGCCCAACAUUGACGCUCAGACCCGAAAGCGUGGGGAGCAAACAGGAUUAGAUA